rnacentral:rRNA from 1 species
UUGCGAAAAUUUUUCAAUGCGCGCAAGCGUGAAAAAGCAAACCAGAGUGCGUUCUUUUUAAGAACGCUUUUAUUUGCUGUAAAAAAGCAGAUGAAUAAGGAGUGGGCAAGACUGGUGCCAGCCGCCGCGGUAAUACCAGCGCUCCAAGUGGCAGCCACAAUUAUUGGGUCUAAAACAUUCGUAGCCUGUUAUGAAAGUUUCUUGUUAAACGUUACAGCUUAACUGUAGCACUGCGAGAAAAACUACAUGACUAGGGACCGGUAGAUGUAAGAAGAACAAUUAAGGAAAUGGUAAAAUAUUCUAAUCUUGAUUGGACUAACAAUGGCGAAGGCAUCUUACAAGCACGGAUCCGACGGUGAGGAAUGAAAGCUAGGGGCGCAAAAUGGAUUAGAUACCCCCGUAGUCCCUGAGCGGGCUGGCAAGGCGCAU